CAGAAAGUUUAGGAUACUGCUUUGUAAAAGCAAAGGUUUAUAAAGACUUUUUAAAUUUAUUUUUAUUAUUUAUUUAUUUAUUUUUUAAUAUUUUUUAUUUUUAUUUUUUAUCCCUAUAGUAAAUGUUGUUAGUACUGUCUUUGGCUUUUGCAACUAUGUUGCUUCUGUGUGUGAAAAGUAAUGUAUCGGCAAAUGAACAUGGCUAUAUUCCAAUAAAACAUAACUGAUGAACACUGA